AGAGUUUGAUCAUGGCUCAGAGCGAACGCUGGCGGCGUGCCUAACACAUGCAAGUCGAACGUGAACAGGGGCAACCCUUAGUAAAGUGGCGUACGGGUGAGUAACACGUAGGUAAUCUACCAAAGUGUCUGGAAUAACCGGCCGAAAGGCUGGCUAAUACUGGAUAGAGCGACGGGAUCCGUAAACGGAUCUUUCGGGAAAGGGAGGCAGCAAUGCCCUUCGCACUUUGAUGAGCCUGCGUCUCAUUAGCUAGUUGGUGGGGUAAUGGCCCACCAAGGCAUUGAUGAGUAGCUGGUCUGAGAGGAUGAUCAGCCACACUGGGACUGAAACACGGUCCAGACUCCUACGGGAGGCAGCAGUGGGGAAUCUUGCGCAAUGGACGAAAGUCUGACGCAGCCACGCCGCGUGAGUGAAGAAGGCCUUCGGGUUGUAAAGCUCUGUCGCCCGGGACGAACAUCCAUUGGGUUAAUAGCCCAGUGGACUGACGGUACCGGGAAAGGAAGCACCGGCUAACUCUGUGCCAGCAGCCGCGGUA
rnacentral:rRNA from 1 species